GAGGCUUAAAGAACCCCCCUCACCCUCGCCCUCCUCGUUCAGGUGGAACCGACCACUUUUCACCUGUUGGUGGCUAAAGUGUCUCCAAGGACGCGGUUGUCGGAAACAGAGCUUGGAUUCCCUUGAAACGAGGGAACUGGGAUCAACCCAGCUGGUCCUCUGAGGGAAUGUCUGACCGUGGGGCAGUCAGGUUGGCCAGAGUAUGCACUUCUUCCCACAUAGUGUGCCCUCAGUAAAGGUUACAAGUUUGUGUGAUUUACAUACGUGUACAGUGAAGUAUUUGGAAGAGAUGGACUUUGGCCAGUCGAUGGAAUUUUAUUUGAUCUUCUCAUCAAAUGACUUUAAAAAUGAAAUGAAAAGUUCCAGCUUUCAUUUUUUAAUUCUUUUGGCAAGAUAUGAUGAAAAUAAAUCCAAGAAGAGUAGGAAGAUGUCAUGUGAAAUGCCAAGAAAAUGGAUUAACAAAAAAAAAUCAUCUGUUUUAAGGUGGAGCAGUUCAAAUAUUAAGAAAAAGAUCUCUUUCUUUUGGCAAGAGAGACAUUUUGGUGGUUUUAUUUCUUGGAUAAAGAAUGGGUCAUUCCUUAUUUAA
rnacentral:lncRNA from 1 species